CCUGAGAGGGUGAUCGGCCACAUUGGGACUGAGACACGGCCCAAACUCCUACGGGAGGCAGCAGUGGGGAAUAUUGGGCAAUGGGGGGAACCCUGACCCAGCAACGCCGCGUGGAGGAAGAAGGUUUUCGGAUCGUAAACUCCUGUCCUUGGAGACGAGUAGAAGACGGUAUCCAAGGAGGAAGCCCCGGCUAACUACGUGCCAGCAGCCGCGGUAAUACGCAGGGGGCAAGCGUUGUCCGGAGUAAUUGGGCGUAAAGGGCGCGUAGGCGGCUCGGUAAGUCUGGAGUGAAAGUCCUGCUUUUAAGGUGGGAAUUGCUUUGGAUACUGUCGGGCUUGAGUGCAGGAGAGGUUAGUGGAAUUCCCAGUGUAGCGGUGAAAUGCGUAGAGAUUGGGAGGAACACCAGUGGCGAAGGCGACUAACUGGACUGUAACUUACGCUGAGGCGCGAAAGUGUGGGGAGCAAACAGGAUUAGAUACCCUGGUAGUCCACACUGUAAACGAUGAAUGCUAGGUGUAGGGGGUAUCGACCCCUUCUGUGCCGCAGUCAACACAAUAAGCAUUCCGCCCGGGGAGUACGGCCGCAAGGUUGAAACUCAAAGGAAUUGACGGGGGCCCGCACAAGCAGCGGAGCAUGUGGUUUAAUUCGACGCAACGCGAAGAACCUUACCAGGUCUUGACAUCCACUUAAACUUACAGAGAUGUAAGGUGUGCUUGCACAAAGUGAGACAGGUGGCGCAUGGUUGUCGUCAGCUCGUGUCGUGAGAUGUUGGGUUAAGUCCCGCAACGAGCGCAACCCUUAUCUUCAGUUACUAACGCGUAGAGGUGAGGACUCUGAAGAGACUGCCGGGGACAACUCGGAGGAAGGUGGGGACGACGUCAAAUCAUCAUGCCCCUUAUGACCUGGGCUACACACGUGCUACAAUGGCCACGACAGAGAGAAGCGAAAUCGCAAGGUAGAGCGGAACUCAAAAAAGUGGUCCCAGUUCGGAUUGUGGGCUGCAACCCGCCCACAUGAAGUCGGAGUUGCUAGUAAUCGCGGAUCAGCAUGCCGCGGUGAAUACGUUCCCGGGCCUUGUACACACCGCCCGUCACACCAUGGGAGUUGGGAGUGCCCAAAGCCGGUGAGGCAACCGCAAGGAGCCAGCCGUCUAAGGCAAGACCAAUGACUGGGGUGAAGUCGUAACAAGGUAGCCGUACUAGUACG
rnacentral:rRNA from 1 species